rnacentral:rRNA from 1 species
UACGAAGGGGACUAGCGUUGUUCGGAAUUGCUGGGCGUAAAGCGCACGUAGGCGGAUUUGUUAGUCAGGGGUGAAAUCCCGGGGCUCAACCUCGGAACUGCCUUUGAUACUGCAAGUCUCGAGUCCGAUAGAGGUGGGUGGAAUUCCUAGUGUAGAGGUGAAAUUCGUAGAUAUUAGGAAGAACACCGGUGGCGAAGGCGGCUUCCUGGACCGACACUGACGCUGAGGCGCGAAAGCUAGGGGAGCAAACGGG